AUUGAACGCUGGCGGCAUGCCUUACACAUGCAAGUCGAACGGCAGCACGGGUGCUUGCACCUGGUGGCGAGUGGCGAACGGGUGAGUAAUACAUCGGAACAUGUCCUGUAGUGGGGGAUAGCCCGGCGAAAGCCGGAUUAAUACCGCAUACGAUCUACGGAUGAAAGCGGGGGCCCUUCGGGCCUCGCGCUAUAGGGUUGGCCGAUGGCUGAUUAGCUAGUUGGUGGGGUAAAGGCCUACCAAGGCGACGAUCAGUAGCUGGUCUGAGAGGACGACCAGCCACACUGGGACUGAGACACGGCCCAGACUCCUACGGGAGGCAGCAGGGGGGAAUUUUGGACAAUGGGCGAAAGCCUGAUCAAGCAAUGCCGCGGGUGUGAAGAAGGCCUUCGGGUUGUAAAGCACUUUUGUCCGGAAAGAAAUCCUUGGCCCUAAUACGGUCGGGGGAUGACGGUACCGGAAGAAUAAGCACCGGCGAACUACGG
rnacentral:rRNA from 1 species